GGACCAGGUUGAAACCUCUAGACUUGAAAGCUCUCCAAGACGAUGACAGAUCUGCAUGACUAACUGGAGAGUCUCGUCUCGCAAUAAUGUGCCUUUUGUUGCUGAACCCUUUCCAGUCUCAGCUGCAUUGCCAGGACAGAAUAAAAUAGGACAUUCCGCAUUUCAGCACGCUAAACCUUGAAUAUCAUUUCCAUUAUCUUAGCACAGUCAUUUAGGAGGCCCAUUCGUUCCUUACAACACAAAGGACAGCUUUCCAAUGUAUUUUAUAUAUUCCCUAUUGAAUCAGUCAUAAAGUUAAUGUUGCACAGUAUUGUAUCUGCAUCCAUAAAAUGGAGGACAAAAUACAGCAAACAGCUUCCUUCAGGCCCUGCCCUUCUCCAAGAGGUUUCCAGUCAAUGGCAUGAGAGGAACUCAGUCUGGUGUUUGUUUAUUUGGAUAAUUUCAUUUCAGAGCUGGUAUUCAGAGAGCAGUACUAGUCUGACCUCUCAUAAUGAGGAAUGGCUUCUUAUAUUAGCAGUGAGGACUAGUCCUAUCUGAAACCUACUCAUUUAGUGGAACAACUAUGGAAGCAGCGUCCCUGGAGAGUAUUACAGCCAUGAAAUAAUUAUCUGCCUCACCAGGUGAGUUGCAUGUUGUCCAUAGCUGGACUAUGAGCACAGCUGUCAGAAAUAAAUUAGAUCGACAGAGUAAAAGUCUAUUCUGAAAUGAAAGAAAAAAUUAUUUAGGAAGAAAAACGUACACCAGAGAAGCCUUUAUGUUUGGAUAAUUCCACAAAAAUAGUUUCAGUUUAGCAAGGAAAAUUAAUUGUCUGCUUUACUGGCAUCUCUGCAAACUUUCUCCCUGGGAACAAAGAACCAGGACUGGGAGAUUCCCUCCUACAUGGGACUU